rnacentral:rRNA from 1 species
UACGUAGGGUGCAAGCGUUGUCCGGAAUUAUUGGGCGUAAAGAGCUCGUAGGCGGUUUGUCGCGUCUGCUGUGAAAACCGGAGGCUCAACCUCCGGCCUGCAGUGGGUACGGGCAGACUAGAGUGCGGUAGGGGAGAUUGGAAUUCCUGGUGUAGCGGUGGAAUGCGCAGAUAUCGAGGAGGAACACCGAUGGCGGAAGGCGGGUCUCUGGGCCGUAACUGACGCUGAGGAGCGAAAGCAUGGGGAGCGAACAGG